rnacentral:rRNA from 1 species
GAGUUUGAUCUUGGCUCAGAUUGAACGCUGGCGGCAUGCCUUACACAUGCAAGUCGAACGGCAGCAUGAUCUAGCUUGCUAGAUUGAUGGCGAGUGGCGAACGGGUGAGUAAUACAUCGGAACGUGCCCUGUAGUGGGGAUAACUAGUCGAAAGAUUAGCUAAUACCGCAUACGACCUGAGGGUGAAAGUGGGGGACCGCAAGGCCUCAUGCUAUAGGAGCGGCCGAUGUCUGAUUAGCUAGUUGGUGGGGUAAAGGCCCACCAAGGCGACGAUCAGUAGCUGGUCUGAGAGGACGAUCAGCCACACUGGGACUGAGACACGGCCCAGACUCCUACGGGAGGCAGCAGUGGGGAAUUUUGGACAAUGGGCGAAAGCCUGAUCCAGCAAUGCCGCGUGUGUGAAGAAGGCCUCGGUUGUAAGUACGACUUU